rnacentral:rRNA from 1 species
UCUAUGUAUUUAAGAAAAAAGGACGUAAUAUAUGUACGAAAAGUUAUAGGUAAAACAUUAAAAAUAAUAUAGCAAUAUAUAUUGAAGAUCUAUAAAUCUCCUUGCAGAAAACUGAAAAGCAAAAAAACUUAGUGAAGUGAAACAUCUCAGUAACUAAAGGAAAAGAAAUUAACAAAGAUUUUGAAAGUAGUGGUGAGCGAAAUCAAAGCAGAGUAAGCUUUAUGAAAAAAAAAUGAAAUAAGGUGGAAUACCUUUAUGAAACAAGGUGAUAGUCCUGUAAUUAAAAUAAAUCAAUAAAGAAAUGAGUAAAAUGAAAUACGUGAAAUUUUGUUUGAAAUUUGGGAGCCCACUCUCAAACUCUACAUAUGCUUAAAUGACUGAUAGUGUACAAGUACUGUGAAGGAAAGAUGAAAAAGAAAGUUUAGGAGAAAAUCUAAGUAGUGAAAAGACCUUGAAAUUGUAAAUUUGAAUAGCAGUUGGAAAUAAAUUAAAAAAAUUAUAACAACGUACCUUUUGUAUAAUGGGUCAGCGAGUUAAUUAAUAUAGCAAGCUUAAGGUGGUAACUGUAGGCGUAGCGAAAGCAAAUUUUAAAAAGUGAAGAGUUAUAUUUUUUAGACCCGAAACCAAGUGAUCUAAUUAUGAAUAAGUAUUUUUAAAAUAUUCGUAUUUUAAAUUUGACUGAACCCGUAUCUGUUGCAACAGAUUGGAAUGAUUUGUAAUUAGGAGUGAAAGGCUAAUCAAACUUGGUGAUAGCUGUUCUUUACGAAAUCUAUGUAGGUAGAGUGAUGAUAAAGAAAAUUAUAGGGGUAGAGCACUGAGUGAUUUAAAAUGGAGAAAUUUGUUUUGUCAUUUAAACUUCGAAUACUAUAAAUUGGAUUAUCAUUAAUCAGACUUUGAGUGCUAAGGUUCAAUGUCGAAAGGGAAACAGCCCAGAUUGUAAGUUAAUGUUCGUAAAUAAUAAUAAAGUGUCAAAGGCGUGAAAAAAGUGAAGUUAAUUGGGAAGUAGGCUUGGAAGCAGCCAUCUUUUAAAGAAAGCGUAACAGCUCACCGAUUUAAGGCUUUUAUUCUGCCAACAAUGUAUAUGAACUAAGUAUUAUACAGAAACUACAAAAUUAUAAAAUUGGUAGUAAAGUGUUUUGUAUGUCAAUAAAGUAAAAUUAAAAAAAUUUUAUGAAGAUAUCAAAAUUAAGAAUGCUGAUAUGAGUAAUGUAAAAUAAUAUAAAAAUAUUAUCACUGAAAAUUAGAGGUUUCCUAAUAAAAUGUUAAACAUAUUAGGGUUAGUCGGUUCCUAAGAUUACUAUGAAAAUAAAAAAUUGAUGGAUAGUUAGAUUAAUAGUUCUAAGCUUAUUAUUAAUGACAAUGAAAUUACAAUUAUAAAUUAAUAUAUUUUUAUAAUUUAUAAUAUAUAAUUUUGUUUUAAAAAUAGUUAAUAAUAUAAUAAACCGUACUUAAACCGACACUGGUUAAUUGAUAGGGAAUAUUAAAGUGUAGAGUGAAUGAUAUUGAAGGAACUCGGCAAAAUGACUCUGUAACUUCGGGAGAAAGAGUGCCUUUUUUAGGCCAUAGAAAAUAGAGGGUAGCGACUGUUUACUAAAAACACAGGGCUCUGCAAAUUAGUAAUAAGAUGUAUAGGGCUUGACACUUGCCCGGUGCUGCUAAGAUGAAAAGGAGAAAUGAAAGUUUUGAAUUGAAGUCUCAGUAAACGGCGGCUGUAACCAUGACGGUCCUAAGGUAGCGAAAUUCCUUGUCGAGUAAUUUUCGACGCGCAUGAAUAGUGUAACGACUUCCCUACUGUCUCCAAUAUCAUCUCAAUGAAGUUGAAUUUUCCGUGAAGAUGCGGAAUAAUAGCAGCUAGACGGAAAGACCCCGUGCACCUUGACUUUGAUUAUAUAUUGUAUGAUUAUUUUAAUAGUGUAGGAUAUUUAGGAGCUUAUGAUUUUUUAAUUCAGGUUAAUUUAAAGGAGGCGUUGUUGAAAUACUAAACAAAUUAGAAUUUAAUACUAAAAAUUUAUAGUGUAUAAUAGGUAGUUUGACUGGGGUGGUCGCCUCCGAAAGAGUAACGGAGGCGUACAAAGGUAAGCUUAAACUAACUACGUUUAGUUUUAAAAGUGUAAUGGCAAAAGCUUGCUUGACUGAAAGACAUACAAGUCAAUCAGAGACGAAAGUCGGUCAUAGUGAUCCGAUAAUGCUGUGUGGAAAGGUUAUCGCUAACGGAUAAAAGGUACGCCGGGGAUAACAGGCUGAUCGAGAGUUAGAGUUCAUAUCUGUCUCUUGGUUUGGCACCUCGAUGUCGGCUCAUCACAUCCUGGAGUUGCAAUAGUUUCCAAGGGUAUACGUGUUCAGUAUUUAAAGUGGUACGUGAGCUGGGUUUAGAACGUCGUGAGACAGUUCGGUCCCUAUCUACUGUUAUAAUUAAAAUAGAAAAAUGCUGACUCUAGUACGAGAGGACCGAGAAGGAUAAACCGCUGGUGUAUUAAUUAUUCUUAAAAGAGUAUUGUUAAGUAGCUACGUUUAAAUAUAAAUAAUUUUUUGUAUUAUUUGGAGGUAACCGCUGAAGAAAUCUUAAGUGGGAAUCUUAUUUUUCAUAUUUUAUUUUAAGUAAAAGACGAUUACUUUGAUAGGCUACAUAUAUACUAAAUGGUAACAUAUCUAAUUAAUAUUAAUUAAUUAUACAUUAUUUAUUUAA